CGAGUGAAGCGGCAAAAGCUCAAAUUUGAAAUCUGGCACUUUCAGUGUCCGAGUUGUAAUUUGAAGAAGGUAUCUUUGGGUCUGGCUCUUGUCUAUGUUUCUUGGAACAGAACGUCACAGAGGGUGAGAAUCCCGUGCGAUGAGAUGUCCCAGACCUAUGUAAAGUUCCUUCGAAGAGUCGAGUUGUUUGGGAAUGCAGCUCUAAGUGGGUGGUAAAUUCCAUCUAAAGCUAAAUAUUGGCGAGAGACCGAUAGCGAACAAGUACAGUGAUGGAAAGAUGAAAAGAACUUUGAAAAGAGAGUGAAAAAGUACGUGAAAUUGUUGAAAGGGAAGGGCUUGAGAUCAGACUUGGUAUUUUGUAUGUUACUCUCUCGGGGGUGGCCUCUACAGUUUACCGGGCCAGCAUCAGUUUGAGCGGUAGGAUAAGUGCAAAGAAAUGUGGCACUGCUUCGGUAGUGUGUUAUAGUCUUUGUCGAUACUGCCAGCUUAGACUGAGGACUGCGGCUUCGGCCUAGGAUGUUGGCAUAAUGAUCUUAAGUCGCCCGUCUUGAAACACGGACCAAGGAGUCUAACGUCUAUGCGAGUGUUUGGGUGUAAAACCCGUACGCGUAAUGAAAGUGAACGUAGGUAGGACCUCCUUUAGGAGUGCACUAUCGACCGAUCCUGAUGUCUUCGGAUGGAUUUGAGUAAGAGCAUAGCUGUUGGGACCCGAAAGAUGGUGAACUAUGCCUGAAUAGGGUGAAGCCAGAGGAAACUCUGGUGGAGGCUCGUAGCGGUUCUGACGUGCAAAUCGAUCGUCG
rnacentral:rRNA from 1 species